GAGAGAGGAGAAAAACAAGAAAGAGGUACAACUAUCUCUUCCUCCUCUUCCUUUUCUUCUUCUUCUUUUUCUUCUUCUUCUUCUU
rnacentral:ribozyme from 13 species